CUACAGCUCUGCUUGAAAAGAGGAGGCUUCCCAAGCAGAGCUUGGGGAGUGGAAGCCUCUCCCUGUUUGACUGUUUAACACCCAAAGAUUCAGGGAGCCGCGGGGACUUCCUACACCAAGCAAGAAGGAAAACUCUGAGUAGCUGCACAUGGGAGUAGUUUGACUUUCUCAUCUGAUCUGUUUUCAUCUGUGCUGCAGAGACAGCAGGGGAUCAAGGUGGGAAGGAGCUGGGAACGAUGAAUGCACUGGCUUCCUGCGGUGUUUAAGGCUGAAACUCCUCUGGGCUCUGGGAAAGUAUCCAGGGAAUAUGAACACGAAAUUCAGGCCUGGAGCCUAAAUAAAGGAGUUGGGUGAUCUCUCAGGGAGCAAAUAUCUACACAGUCACAGGCAGUAUCACUCAUCUCCUGGAUAAGAGAGGCCAGCUGGAAGGAGGCUGGAGCCCCAGGGACACGAGGACAGUGUUCUCCAGAGGUUUCUUUCUCACCAUUGCAGCAGCAAGUCUCUAAUUAAGCUCUCAGAACACACCCUGUUCCAGACUGGCCUGUGGAUGAAACUGCCCUUUAAAAAGGGAACUGAGAUACCCAAGGGGCUGGACCGCUCCAGGACUGGGCAGCAGAUUUGCAGGAAUGAUGCUGCAGUGAUGGAGGACAGACAGGAACCUGGCAGUUUGUGUCUCCAAGACUGGAUGGCUGUGUCCUGGAUGGGGUCUGAGGGACCUGCUGUCUGGCUGCUGGGUCACCUUCCACUGUCAUCUGCCUCGCCGAGUGUUGGAUUCUCUGUGAAAUGCCGGCUUUCCCUGAUAACUCCACCACAACAACUUCAGUUACAUGAGAAAAAUGCAGCUCAGACAAUUCACAACCCCAUGGAUCCACCACUAGAGGCUUUCAUGAAUCUUUUUAUGAACACACUGCCAAGUGUGAGAUCCACUCAAGGCAUUCCAGAGGUGACCACGGGGCUUGGGGAAGGGGCUGCAGUGGCAGGAAGGGCCCUGGGGCUGGUGGCAGCAGUGGUGGGCAGGGUUGGACCCUCGGGCAGCAGCUUCAAUCCUAGAAGCUCCUCCUGGUGCUGGAGCAGGGUGGGAGGGCUCUGCUGCCAUGGUCCUGACAUGGGACCUCCUUGCUCCUGCUGCAACAGUGCCCCUUGGAGCAUUUUUCAUGGCUGUGAAGCUGCCAUUCUUUAA
rnacentral:lncRNA from 13 species